rnacentral:antisense_RNA from 1 species
CUUCACCGAGCCGAGCCAGAGCGGCCGGCCGGCCGGACGGCCCUGCCCGUACGUCGACAGCAGCGCCUGCGCCUC